CUUAGGCUGGAAUGUGUGACGUCACUCGCUGGUUUUAUUAAAUUGAUUGACGAGGGACAUUAUCUGUGUAAUAGAUAUUCAAGUCAUUUAUUCAGGAGAGCGUCAGUGAUAAUUGGACAGAAUGGCUCCAACAAUAAUCGUCAAGAAAGCCUUCGUAACCUCCUCGACGGAUCUCCAUUUUCUGCAGCAAAUGAUUUCCCCAACAGGCCUUGAAGAACAAAACUGAGGAAAUGGAUCUGGAGGGUGACUAUAAAAAAGGAGGUUAUGGUAAUCCGGAAGGAGAGGUGGACUAAAAUAUUAAAGAUGAUUAAGACUUGA